AACGAACGCUGGCGGCAUGCCUAACACAUGCAAGUCGAACGAACCCUUCGGGGUUAGUGGCGCACGGGUGCGUAACGCGUGGGAAUCUGCCCUUUGCUUCGGAAUAACUCAGGGAAACUUGUGCUAAUACCGGAUGAUGUCUUCGGACCAAAGAUUUAUCGGCAAGGGAUGAGCCCGCGUAGGAUUAGGUAGUUGGUGGGGUAAAGGCCUACCAAGCCGACGAUCCUUAGCUGGUCUGAGAGGAUGAUCAGCCACACUGGGACUGAGACACGGCCCAGACUCCUACGGGAGGCAGCAGUGGGGAAUAUUGGACAAUGGGCGCAAGCCUGAUCCAGCAAUGCCGCGUGAGUGAUGAAGGCCCUCGGGUCGUAAAGCUCUUUUACCAAGGAUGAUAAUGACAGUACCUGGAGAAUAAGCUCCGGCUAACUCCGUG
rnacentral:rRNA from 1 species